rnacentral:rRNA from 1 species
UACGUAGACCUCGAGCGUUGUCCGGAUUUAUUGGGCGUAAAGGGUGUGUAGGGGGCAUUGCGCGUCUCAUGUUAAAUCUUGUGGCUUAACCAUAAGGCUGCAUGGGAUACGGCAUUGCUAGAGGGCGCUAGAGGCAAGUGGAACGCACGGUGUAGGGGUGAAAUCCGUUGAUAUCGUGCGGAACACCAAAUGCGAAGGCAGCUUGCUGGGGCGUACCUGACCCUGAAACACGAAAGCGUGGGGAGCAAAA